AUACGUAGGGGGCGAGCGUUGUCCGGAAUGAUUGGGCGUAAAGGGCGCGUAGGCGGCCGCUUAAGUCUGGAGUGAGAGUCCUGUUUUCAAGAUGGGAAUUGCUUUGGAUACUGGGGGGCUUGAGUGCAGGAGAGGUUAUCGGAAUUCCCGGUGUAGCGGUGAAAUGCGUAGAGAUCGGGAGGAACACCAGUGGCGAAGGCGGGUAACUGGACUGCAACUGACGCUGAGGCGCGAAAGUGUGGGGAGCAAACAGGAUUAGAUACCCUGGUAGUCCACACUGUAAACGAUGAAUGCUAGGUGUAAGAGGUAUCGACCCCUUUUGUGCCGGAGUCAACACAAUAAGCAUUCCGCCUGGGGAGUACGGCCGCAAGGUUGAAACUUAAAGGAAUUGACGGGG
rnacentral:rRNA from 1 species